UUUUCCUUAGCUUAAAUUAAGAGUGUCAGUGUGAAGUUCUGGAGGUACAGAAAUGUAGGAAGA
rnacentral:tRNA from 1 species